AGAAAUAAAUAUAGAAAGCUUCUAACUUUUUAAAAAGCAUUAAAUUGUUUAUAUUUCUA
rnacentral:tRNA from 1 species